UAGCGAGAGGGAGACACCGGCAGACGACGUCAAAAGCUACCGUAGCUUAAACUAAGGGAAAAACGAGAGGGGUAGUGCAAGAGGGAAACGUUAUAUAGGCUAUCAAUAUUUAUAUUUAAAAUAUAUUUGUUGAGUUAUUAAUGGCUGUACGAAAAGACUGAUACUGAUUGAUUCACGUAUAACUGGCUGCUGGAUAAAUAGUCUUACAGAAUAAAUUAUACAAUACAAAAAGAUACAUUCUAUAGAAAUUCAGCUAUUCUUUUAGUACUAGGCAGUAGGCUACUAUGAGAGAGUGACUAGCUUUAACUGAUUUACCGAGCGAAUAACGGAUCAUAAGGCGCGGGGUUAGGGAUCUGUGAUCUGGUGAUAGUGUGACAAGACGCGAAACCUUAACCGGAGCAGUAGCCUAACUCAGUUACCAAUUCGAAACCGGCGAGGAAGAGAUAAGCAGGAGUCAUAAAAGCGGGGACGAAUCACACUGAGCAUCCUAUUCCCCGAGCGAGGAUAACUGGAGACGCGCACUGAAGAUAACGCCACGGAAAAACGUGGAAAAACAAACAAAAACAUAUCCGUUUACUGUUGAGAUUUUGUGAAGACGUGGAUAUAAGGAUCUCUUGAAAUAGGGUCUCCGGAACACACUUUCACGUCCUAAAGUUCUGGUCGCAAAUCUCCAGAGGACGUCGACUCUGCUCCUGCUCUCACCCCGCUCUCCUUACCUCGAACCCGGCAGAGCGCCUGUCGCUCUCCCUGCUGUGUCCCGAUGAAGGAGGCCGACGCGAUCAAGCUGUUCGUGGGGCAGAUUCCCCGGAAUCUGGAGGAGAAGGAUCUCAAACCGAUCUUUGAACAGUUUGGGAAAAUCUACGAGCUGACCGUGAUUAAGGACAAAUACACCGGAAUGCAUAAAGGAUGUGCGUUCCUGACAUACUGUGCGAGAGAGUCGGCGCUGAAGGCCCAGAGUGCUUUGCACGAGCAGAAGACACUGCCGGGGAUGAACCGACCCAUACAGGUGAAACCAGCAGACAGCGAGGGGAGAGGAGAAGACAGGAAGUUGUUUGUGGGCAUGCUGGGUAAACAGCAGAGUGACGAGGACGUCAAGAGGCUGUUUGAGCCCUUCGGAACCAUAGAUGAGUGCACAGUACUACGAGGUCCAGAUGGCACCAGUAAAGGUUGUGCAUUUGUGAAGUACCAGGGACAUGCUGAAGCUCAGGCUGCCAUCAGCACCCUGCAUGGGAGUCGCACACUGCCUGGUGCUUCAUCCAGCUUGGUGGUGAAGUUUGCAGACACAGAGAAGGAACGUGGGCUGAGGCGAAUGCAGCAGGUGGCAUCACAGCUGGGCAUCUUCAGCCCCACAAUGACUCUCAACUUCCCAGCUUACAACGCUUACACACAGGCCGUCAGCGCACAGGCGUUGGUCCAACAACAGGCUCUGGUUGCCCAAUCAGCGUACUUGUCUCCUGUAGCAACAGUUGCCAGUUUACAGAUGCAGCAGAUGGCAGCGCUCAACGCAAACGGAAUCAUCGCCACACCCAUAACAGCUUCCUCUGAGUCUAGUAGCUGUCAAUCACAAUAUCUCCUCCAUUGUGAUUGGUCAUCCCGGUUUGCAGGUACGAAUACCCCUCCCACCAUCUCAGCCACACCUGUGCCAUCACUACCUCCACCCCUUGGAGUCAACGGUUACAGUCCACCAACCAAUGGACAGCAAGCAUCAGAAACACUAUACACCAAUGGCGUUCACGCAUACCAAGCUCAGAGUCCAGCAGCUGCUCUAGACCCUCUUCAGCAGGCGUAUGCAGGCAUGCAGCACUACACAGCUGCGUACCCUGCUGCCUACGGAUUGGUCGGUCAGCCAUUUCCACAGCAACCCAGCCUGGUUGCACAGCAACACCAGCAGCCCCAGCAACAGCAGCAGCGAGAAGGUCCAGAGGGCUGUAAUAUAUUUAUCUACCACCUGCCUCAGGAGUUCAGUGACAGUGAGAUGCUUCAGAUGUUUCUGCCUUUUGGAAACGUCAUCUCGGCUAAAGUCUUUGUAGACCGUGCCACCAACCAGAGCAAGUGCUUUGGUUUUGUGAGUUUUGACAACCCCUCCAGUGCCCAGGCUGCUAUUCAGGCAAUGAAUGGCUUCCAGAUCGGCAUGAAGAGACUCAAGGUCCAGCUCAAACGACCUAAAGAUGCCAACCGCCCUUACUGAAGAAGAGAGAGAGACCCUCCUGUCCAAUCAUAAUUCACGGGGACUCCAUCGCUAUGGCAAUGGUUACCUAGCGACCGAUAAAGCCCUGAAUCCCCCCUUCCUCUCACGUUGUUGUGAAGUUUUCAGCCUCCGGUCGUGGUGAAAUCCCAGUGUGCAUUGCGCUCUCCAAUCUUCUUCUACCUUUCUUUGAGCAACGGGGAAGUGCACGCACAUACACACACACACACACAAACAAACACACACACAUUGUAAUCAAAAAGGACCAAGGCACAGAUAUAGACCAAUGUACAUAUUAUAGGUCUCACAUACACUUACGUUUGAAUGCAGACAUGUCAGUAAUCCUACACAUGAACUGAGAUCAGUUUGAUGUGGUUUGUGAGGAGUUCUUCUGGUGUGUGUUGAGUAGAGGAGAUCGCACACACACACACACACACACACAGAGAACCAGGGAGUAUUUACUAGGGGCAUUGAUGAGAUGAUGAAUAAUGGUGAUAUAUCACUCUUUUGGACCAUAACAUGUCUACUACAUGUCUAGUACAUGGGUAUAACACAAUACAAAUAAGAAGGCCUCCAUUUCAUAAUAAAAAAGAAAAAGGGAAGAAAAAAAGUCAAAAUGAGUAGUUUAGAGAAACUUAAGGAGAAAGAUCAUAAGGAGAAAGAUCCUCAUGACCUGUAAAUAAUUUAGUUUAAAAGAGUAACAUUUAAAAAAAUGACAAAAAAAUUCAAAAAGAAAAUACUUUAGAUAAUUCACUGAAAAAAACACAAUAACAUUAUUAUCAUUAUUAUUAAUUAUUAUUAUCAUUAUCUUCUUUAAGGGAUAUCCUAUUUGAAAUUAAUAAAAGGGGAGAAUCACUAACAUAUUUUAAAUUUCUACGUAGAAUUUAGGAGAAAUGUGAGAGGGAGGGACUGCACCUUUUCUGGGAGGUUUUAAUAUUUGAAGUAUUUUUUAUUUAUUGACUAAUUUAUGAAUUAUUUUUGUUUGUAUGGAAAAAUAAUGAAGGGUUCAAAAGGGUUCCAAGUUUCAGAUUUUUGAUUUUUUUUAAAGAAAUCCAUUCCCAGGUCUGUUUCUGUCAGACUGCAAUUGAGUAAUUAUUAUUAUUACAGCAAUUAUAUUUAUUUCUUAUUUAUUGAGUCCUGUUUUUAAUCCAAUCUCUUUUUAAGUUAAAAUAAAAAAUAUUAUACAUAAAA